AGUCCACUGGCCUCCGGGUUGAGCAACUUUGACUUUAUCCUUGCACUCUAUGAUAGCUGGGCGGGGCUUGCGCCCGGUGUCGUCCUGACGCUACACGCUCGGCCCCGCAACACACACGCGGCUUGCUUGCGGCUCUCCCCCAGACAGCGUCACCUACUGAGGUAAAGUUAAUGAGCUCCGCCCCCAAGAGACCGGAAAGCAUAGGCACCAAGGCUGCUGCAGAGUCUGUUGUUCUACCCAGCCUGUUCCGCCAGGCAGAAGUACUGACCUGAAGACUGGACCUGAGCAGAUUUUCUCUGGAAGAGGACUAAGGGAGGGGCUCUCCUGAGGCCUGGGCAGACCAGGUAUCUGAUUCUGAGGAUCCUUUCCUCAAGAUUAACAAACAUUCAAAUGCAGCCGCAUCCCUCAUUCAAUGAAACUCUUCUUUGGUUUACACUAAAGGGGCCUCUGUUGACUUGCUUUUGACUAUGAGUAACUCAUUUAAUCUAGAACUGGCUAUGACUAUAAUCAUGCUGUGGACUCUGGAGUGUUUGCCAAAAAUCCAGUUUAUAAAUUGUUUUCAAAUAUAAUGACAUCUGUAUGGGUACUAAAAUUAACAAAUAUUGAAGUUGACAUGUUAUUAUCUUUAAACGUUUGUUAGUUUCAAUUUCUUUUCCCCCCCUCAUUUUACAGCCUUCAAAGUUUUAGCUCCAAAGCUUUCCUUGAGCCUUUGAAAGUCCACUCUACAGGUUUGCAUCCACAGAGCGAGCUCCUUCCUGGGCCACCCAACUCUAGGCACUGCAGACGGCCUUAUGGCUUCUCCCCACAAUGAACACCUACCCCCGGUCAUUGACCAGGCAAUAUCAAGUUGAGCGACUUUACUCCCAUUUAGAAAACAAAGUGGAUCAUUGACUAAGUGUGAGUUAAUGUUUAGAAUUCGAUUGGACUGAGUAAAUUCACCAUGAAGCAAUAGGAUUUGGAUGAGUACAAGGAAUGUCCCCACCCGCUCCUCUCCAGUUCCCCAGGAGGGGGCGCCCAGAGAGCAGCCCAGGUUACUGGUCUCUUGACUAGGUUUUGAUUGCAGUGCUUAGGUAUAGACUUCACUCUGGGCCAGCCCAAGGGUCACAAGGAGGAAGUUUCUUCUCCUGUUUGCAUGGACUGUUUGGGGGUAUUUUAAAGCACCG
rnacentral:lncRNA from 1 species